ensembl:lncRNA TEX14BP testis expressed 14B, pseudogene
GGGGCUGUGUUGGGGAAGGGGAUGCUACUGCGCAGGCGCUGCGGGAGGCCACUGGUGCUCAAGCACCUCGGAUUCCCGCUCAUACAGCCGGCCGGAUCAUGUGGCAGUCAGGUGGCGACCACUAUCUAGCCCAACGUUGCUGGAGUUGUUGCAGCUCUGCCGGGCCCACAUAUCAGCGUUCGUGCAUGACGGUGAGUUGCCACCCAUGGCAUCUCUGGACCAGUUGCAGGCCAGAUUUGGGAACAGCCCGCCUGGCUCCCUGUCCUCCCUGAGGCUGAUGCAGGCAGACAGCCUCCUGUGGAUGGGUCACAAAAUGACUGUGCAGCAGCCGAAGGCCCCUGGAACCCAGACAGAUGUGCUACUGGCUGACCUUCAGCACUGCAGGCCCACUGGCGAGCUCACAGUGGCUUCAGCUCUCACACCGUGUAGCUGGUGCAGCCAGGCCUGGCUAAAGUGGGCCACCUGGAGCACAGGCGCCUCCUACGCCAGCGCUGGCUGCGGCCCAGGCAGCAGAAGGGCUACCCCUGGGGAGGCCCAGGCCCAGGGCUUCCCCCGCCCCCUGAACUACACCCAUGGCUGCCACUUCAGCUGAUCUGCGGUGACAUGCCCACCACCACCUCAGACCUCUACAGCUUCUGCAUCCUGAUCCAGGAGGUCUUCACUGAGAAACUGUACAUCAAGUGGCUCACAGAGCCAAGACCACACCCAGGCCUGUGGCCCCUGUGAUGUCCCCAGGCCCCAUCCCAUGCCAGGCCUGAGACUCCUGAGGUCAGAGACCACAGCAGGAUCCCAAGGGGUGCAGCCUGGAACUUGGGCAGCAGCUUGACUCUAGGCAGCAGCUCUGGGCCCAGCCCAGGACCCAGCCCUGGGUCUGGCCACAGCCCCACAGCCAGGGUCAGCCUGCACUGCUGCCUGGAGCCCAGCUCAACAGUACAGAUACCCCCAGAGCCCUGCACAACUGUCCCACUGCUAACCUGUGACCCCCUCCGCCCGCCCUCCAGGAGUCACCAACCCGAAGUUCCCUGGCUGCCUCUCCUUUGACCAGGGAACUUUAGGGUCGCCCAACUGUCCCCUCACUCACCUAUGACCCUUAACCAACCCUGCUUCCCCCAGGGCCCUUCCCUGCACUCCAACUCCAGCCUCUAGGACUCAGCCUCCCUGCUGGGGACCCAGAGCUCUGCGGAACAGUUUGAGGAAGCUCUCAGCCAAGAUUCCAGCCCUGCAGGGGCUGCUGCGGCGCACACACAGGGUUAUUCUGCUGGAGCCCCAGCCCUGUGAGCCCAUCCCCAGCCUGCUGACCCACAGGGAGGCUUCCCACACACUGGGAGGCUGCUGGCAGGGAAGGCCACGAGGGCAGGCUAAGCAGAGGACCCCGAGCUCAGCCUGUGCCCCAUCUGCCCUCCCAGGCCCGCUGGAGCACCAUGGCUACCAGGUGGCAGCUCCAGCCUUCUCUCCUGCAGGCACCCGGUACUGAGCUGACUAGAGGAGGUCUCUUCUCCAGCCUGCAGAAGAUGGACCUGCUGGAGGAGAUCAUAGCAGAGCUACAAAAAGGAUGUCAGCUUGGAGAAAAGCCCAGCCUGAGCCCCACUCCUGACCUAGACUCCCAGGGUGCCCAUGGUUCCCCUCUCUGCAGAUACCACCUCUCAGAGGCUCCCAGGAGUAACUCCUGCCUUGGUGCCUCCCCAAAAGGAAAUAGAAUGAUAAAGUGCCCCCUC